rnacentral:tRNA from 1 species
GGAGAGUUCAAUAGUUGAAUAUAGGACUUAUAAGCCUAAGAUCUUGGGUUCAACCCCCAAUACCA